UAGAGGCUGGGUUUGAUUCAAAGAUUAAAUAUUUUUUCAUGAAGGGUUUGUAUUUCCUUCUUAUAUUGGAUUCCUCCUCAAGUGCUGGUUUCCAUCCCCAGUCCCAAAACAAGUAAGCAUCCCUGCCUUGCUGUAAUUGCGGUAGUGAUAGAAACUGUCCACCCAUGGGCAUGAAUUGAAUAAGCAGGUUAAAGAAAAUGGAUGGAUGCUAACAGGAAAGAAGAUAAACAUAACCACAGUUAGCUGAUAUUGAAUAGGAAUAUCGAAGGCUGGGUGCAUCCAUCUAUUGUCUUGGCCAAGUAACAGGACUGGCAGUUGGAGUCACUUUUACCGGCACCCUCAGAUGCUGGCGACUCUCUCAGUGCACCUCCUGUAUCAACCCUCAUACUUCACUGAAAGAAAGAAAAAGGGAGUUUGGCAACACUGCUCGUAUCCAGCGCUGAAUGAGUGUAGUCGCCAACACUUCUAUACAACAUGUAACUCUUAUUCCCGAGUUAUUCGUUGGAGUGUAGCAGACCGUUAAACAUGACAGCUCCAUUGUCGAUCUGCACCAAGGAGGAAAUUAAGGGCAGCGAUUCAAUUUUUGUUUGCGGAAGGUGUUAAACCUGCGGACAUUAUUCGUCGAAUGCGAGCACAGUAUGUUGACAACUGUUUAUCGCGAAGCAAGAUCUACGAAUGGAUAGAGCGCUUCAAACAGGGAAGAACUUCUUUAUGUGACGAAGAAAGAUCGGGCAGGCCAUCAACGUCAACCAGUGAGGACAAUGUGAUAGUCGUUGAUUCCAAAAUUGGUUGCAGAUGCAACCGAAAAACUUUUUUUCCAACGGAAUCAAAAAACUUGUGAAAAAUAAGCUUCUUCACCUGGACGCCGGUGUUCACCUAUAUCAGUGAGCUGAAUGCCUCUCGGAGAUGCAAAUGCACACGCCGCCACCGUGGAAGAAGAGCCGGUACUGUUGUUAAACAACGCUGACUCAAGUCCCAGAGCUUGGAUUCCCGA